CCUACGGGAGGCAGCAGUGGGGAAUAUUGCACAAUGGGCGCAAGCCUGAUGCAGCAACGCCGCGUGAGGGACGACGGCCUUCGGGUUGUAAACCUCUUUUAGUAGGGAAGAAGCGAAAGUGACGGUACCUGCAGAAAAAGCACCGGCUAACUACGUGCCAGCAGCCGCGGUAAUACGUAGGGUGCAAGCGUUGUCCGGAAUUAUUGGGCGUAAAGAGCUCGUAGGCGGUUUGUCGCGUCUGCUGUGAAAACCCGAGGCUCAACCUCGGGCCUGCAGUGGGUACGGGCAGACUAGAGUGCGGUAGGGGAGAUUGGAAUUCCUGGUGUAGCGGUGGAAUGCGCAGAUAUCAGGAGGAACACCGAUGGCGAAGGCAGAUCUCUGGGCCGUAACUGACGCUGAGGAGCGAAAGCAUGGGGAGCGAACAGGAUUAGAUACCCUGGUAGUCCAUGCCGUAAACGUUGGGAACUAGAUGUAGGGACCAUUCCACGGUUUCUGUGUCGCAGCUAACGCAUUAAGUUCCCCGCCUGGGGAGUACGGCCGCAAGGCUAAAACUCAAAGGAUUGACGG
rnacentral:rRNA from 1 species